UCCCAUGCGCAGUGGUGAAUGUGGCUUA
rnacentral:piRNA from 1 species